GACGGAGGGUGCAAGCGUUGCUCGGAAUUAUUGGGCGUAAAGGGUAGGUAGGCGGUCUCAUUUGUCUGAGGUGAAAGCCUUGGGCUUAACCCAAGAAGUGCCUCAGAAACGGUGAGACUAGAGUCCUAGAGAGGGUCGUGGAAUUCCCGGUGUAGCGGUGAAAUGCGUAGAGAUCGGGAGGAACACCAGAGGCGAAGGCGGCGACCUGGAUAGGUACUGACGCUCAACUACGAAAGCGUGGGGAGCAAACAGG
rnacentral:rRNA from 1 species